CCUACGGGUGGCAGCAGUGAGGAAUAUUGGUCAAUGGACGAGAGUCUGAACCAGCCAAGUAGCGUGAAGGAUGACUGCCCUAUGGGUUGUAAACUUCUUUUAUAUGGGAAUAAAACGUUCCACGUGUGGGAUUUUGUAUGUACCAUAUGAAUAAGGAUCGGCUAACUCCGUGCCAGCAGCCGCGGUAAUACGGAGGAUCCGAGCGUUAUCCGGAUUUAUUGGGUUUAAAGGGAGCGUAGGUGGAUUGUUAAGUCAGUUGUGAAAGUUUGCGGCUCAACCGUAAAAUUGCAGUUGAAACUGGCAGUCUUGAGGACAGUAGAGAUGGGCGGAAUUCGUGGUGUAGCGGUGAAAUGCUUAGAUAUCACGAAGAACUCCGAUUGCGAAGGCAGUUCACUGGACUGCAACUGACACUGAGGCUCGAAAGUGUGGGUAUCAAACAGGAUUAGAACCCUAUAGUC
rnacentral:rRNA from 1 species